GUGCUCAUUUCUGCAGCACAUAUACUAAAAUUGGAAUGUUACAAAGAAGAUUAGCGUGGCCGCUGCACAAGGAUGACACAAAGAUUCCUGAAGCGUUCCCUAUGUUU
ensembl:snRNA U6 U6 spliceosomal RNA